rnacentral:rRNA from 1 species
UGGGGAAUUUUGGACAAUGGGCGAAAGCCUGAUCCAGCAAUGCCGCGUGUGUGAAGAAGGCCUUCGGGUUGUAAAGCACUUUUGUCCGGAAAGAAAUCCUUGGCUCUAAUACAGUCGGGGGAUGACGGUACCGGAAGAAUAAGCACCGGCUAACUACGUGCCAGCAGCCGCGGUAAUACGUAGGGUGCAAGCGUUAAUCGGAAUUACUGGGCGUAAAGCGUGCGCAGGCGGUUUGCUAAGACCGAUGUGAAAUCCCCGGGCUCAACCUGGGAACUGCAUUGGUGACUGGCAGGCUAGAGUAUGGCAGAGGGGGGUAGAAUUCCACGUGUAGCAGUGAAAUGCGUAGAGAUGUGGAGGAAUACCGAUGGCGAAGGCAGCCCCCUGGGCCAAUACUGACGCUCAUGCACGAAAGCGUGGGGGAGCAAACAGGGUUAGAUACCCUGGUAGUCCACGCCCUAAACGAUGUCAACUGUUGUUGGGGAUUCAUUCCUUAGUAACGUAGCUAACGCGUGAAGUUGACCGCCUGGGGAGUACGGUCGCAAGAUUAAAACUCAAGGAAUUGACGGGGUCAUAGCUGUUUCCU